AGGACUACUGUUCAUGUUAUCUCAAUGUAAUGGACAGUUAGGACUACUGUUCAUGUUAUCUCAAUGUAAUGGACAGUUAGGACUACUGUUCAUGUUAUCUCAAUGUAACAGACAGUUAGGACUACUGUUCAUGUUAUCUCAAUGUAAUAGACAGUUAGGACUACUGUUCAUGUUAUCUCAAUGUAACAGACAGUUAGGACUACUGUUCAUGUUAUCUCAAUGUAACAGACAGUUAGGACGACUGUUCAUGUUAUCUCAAUGUAAUAAGACAGUUAGGACUACUGUUCAUGUUAUCUCAAUGUAACAGACAGUUAGGACGACUGUUCAUGUUAUCUCAAUGUAACAGACAGUUAGGACGACUGUUCAUGUUAUCUCAACCUAAUGAUAACCGUGUGUUAUCUAUUUAUAUUGUUGAAACAGACAUAUAUUGCCUGUGUGUUUUGGUCAUUUCAAGACGUACUGAGGUGUAUGUGUACCCUUCAAGGAAUGGAACUGUAUAAUAGUAUUGCUUGAUUGAAUUGACAUGAAUGUGUCCUAAUCCAGCAGGACAUCUAUUGUUCAGUAUCACAGUGGGAAGGUUGAAGAGCAAACCGUGUGUAUUGAUAUAAGUCUACUGUAUGGGCCGUCCACAGGAAGUGCCUUUAUUAGUGCUAUGUUAUCAUGUACUGUAUUUCCUGAAGGUUUAUGGAGGAACAGAUAGAUAACCAACCAAACUCACCACGAGACAACUAUAGGGAGGCGAUUCACAGAGCUGUGACCACUCAGUCUCCCGAGUCGAAACAACUAGGACUUGUUCAUGUUCGUAACCAUUUGGUUUCACAGUAGAACUGUCGUUGUUUUAGAAAUGGGACUGAAAGACAGAACGACUGAAAGAACAGAAGAAGGGUGGGUAGAGACGUGGAGUCAAAACUUCACAGAGUUGUGGCUACAAGCCCUCCAGUCUACAGGACUAGCUCAUGUGUAGGCCAUAUGUAAAUGAACUGUCGUUGUUUUAGAAAGAGAAAUACUGAAAAAACAAGGGGUAGAUAGACGUGAGUCAGUGGGAGGGGUUAAUGGGUUGGUUGUAGAGGUCUUGUUUGUGGAGGGAAGUUGGGUACUGGCCAGGGCUGUUACACCUCUUCCUCCCCAGACUGAAGACUCAGAGUGGAGAGAGAAAAGAGGGGGUUGAGAGAGAGAGAGAGAGGGCUGAGAGAGAGAGAGAGAGAGAGAGAGGGCUGAGAGAGAGGGCUGAGAGAGGGCUGAGAGAGAGAGAGGGGAGAUGAUAGACAGAGAGAGCGAUAGUAGCUUAGUGUAGCUGGGAAAAGAAAGGGGGAGUAGAGAGAGAGAAAGGUUGAGUGAAAAAGGUAAAAUGGAAAGAAUGUUUGGAAGGGUGAAGGGAAUUAUGUUUCAGCUGACCAAAUAAGUUUAGCUUUAAGUUGGGAAGAUACACAGUUCAACACAUUUCAGCUGAAAGUCAUUACAGUCACUGUAGCUGAAAGUCAUUACAGUCACUGUAGCUGAAAGUCAUUACAGUCACUGUAGCUGAAAGUCAUUACAGUCACUGUAGCUGAAAGUCAUUACAGCCAUUGCAGCUGAAAGUCAUUACAGCCAUUGCAGCUGAAAGUCAUUACAGUCACUGUAGCUGAAAGUCAUUACAG
ensembl:lncRNA